GGGGAUCUUCCCCACCGCGCCGCGGGCGCGCUCAGCUCACAGCUGUAAAACGCCUGGAAACCUGGAAAUGCGGAAAAAUCAGCCUUUCUGUGUCCACCCGUAGAUUGCAGUACGCGAAACAGGAAAAAUGAGAUCAACGAAUAAUCAGACUGGGACAGGCAGAGGCAGAAAAAAAUAUAUCAAAUUGGUUUUCUUUUGGAGACCCCUGGAUGCAUUCCUGGUGGUUCCAAAGAGGGCUGACAUGUCUCCCAAGCUUGCUGUGCAGACGAGUCACCUGAGGAUUUUAAGACAGAUUCGAAUGCAGUGUGUCUGGGAUGGAGCCUGGAACCAUGUGCCUCUGAUGCCAGGUGACACUGCCGCAGAUCAGCAGACCACACGUGGAGCAGCCAGGCAGCAGAGGAUCACUAACUGGUUGGGACGACUGCGGGGAAUACUACUGUAAGGUGUAUUAGCCAGGGUUCUCCAAGGAAUCAAAUCAAUAGGAGGCUUAUGUCUAGAUCAUGUAUUAUAAGGAAUUGACUCCUGAUUAUAGAGGCUGACAAGUCCCAAGAUCUGUCAUCAGCAAGCUGGAGACCCAAGAGCUGAUGGUAUAUAUUUUAGUCUGAAGGCCAACAGACUCAGACCCAGGAAGAACUGACAUUUCAGUUUGAGUCUAAAGUCAGGAAAAAACUCUCAUAGAAGUUUUUGGUUCUAUUCAAGCAUUCAACUGAUUGGAUGAGGCCCACCCACAUUAGGAAGAGCAAUGUGUUUUACUCAGUCUACUGAUUCAAAUGUUAAUCUCAUCCAAAACACCCUCGCAGACACACCCAGAGUAAUGUUUGAUAAAUGUCUGGGCACUCUGUGGCCCAGCCAAGUGGACUCGUAAAAGGAGCCAUCACAGGAGGAGACAGUAUAUCCUCCCUUGGGGUCUUCAUGAUCUCCGGGUUGCUCUUAGCUUUCUUGGAACUUUCUAGCAAGAAGACCCGGGUGUGUUGCCUGGUGAGCUGACUGUUGGAGAGCCCUGGGUCUCCAAGCUCUCAAGUGCAUCUCUCUAUAGAACAGUGGGGCUUUGCCCCACCAAUUCUGUCAUAUAAAGGAUACUUAACAUUUAUACUGAACCCCUUAAUACAUAUUACUGAAUGCCCUGUGUGAAAGGUACAAAGUGGGGGUCAAGGAGGACCAAGGAUGAUGUGCCCUGGAGUGGAAGGGGUGUGGGAAGGACAGGCUACAGAAUUUGUGGGUCCAGAGCAAAAUAAAAAUGUAGGGCUCUUUGUUAAAAAAUUAGAGGGUUUUCAAGGCAGCAAGAGCAGAGCACUGAUCCAGAUGUGGGGCCCCUCUGAGUGUAGGACCCUGCGGGACUACAGGUCAUACAUCCACGAAGGUGGUGCUAGGGGGAGUCGGCCCAGGAGCCAGGCAGAUUCAAGGUCCCUGUGGGUAGACCAGGGUAAUUAAUUUGUGCCUCUCUUUAUUUUCUUCUUUGCUCCCUCCCUCCCUUCCUUCCUCCUGUCCUUUCUCUUUCUUUCUUUUGUUCUUUUCCCUCCCUCACUUCCUUCCUUCCCACAAGGUAAUUUUAAAAACCAUAUCACUUUUCAAUGAAAUAAUGUAUUCAUCAUCCAUUAUAUUUGUCAUUCUAGAUAUGUAUAAAUUAAACCUGUUUGUGUCACUUAAAUGCCUUUGCAGCAGUGGCUAGAGUAAGGGUCCUAUCUACUUAAGUCUGUCUGCUCUGCGGGUGGGGGCGUGGGAUGCUGCAGACCAAAGGGAGAAAGGCCAAGGGGGGGGGGAAAGGCUUUUGGAAACACCCAGGCCGGGUCUAGUUUUAAAGGCAUCUGCCACCUGUUUCUCAGAGUAGAUAGCAAAGCUCUAGAGGAGUACACCUCAGAAGAAAACCAUCCUGGAAAUGGCCUACCUUAUCCAGAAGGUGUGGAUUCCACCUUUUCUGAACCUACUGUUAGGGCCUUGGUAUUCAUGACCUGGCCAGCUGGUUAGAGAAAAGCUCAGAAAGGUAAAAAAAAGAAAGUGCUCCUUGCCAGUAAGAUAGGAUUAACUAGAAUUUUCUGAUUAUAGAUUUUAGCCCUGUCUAAAGGGGAGUGUCUACUAGUCCCUGGGGGCAUUAAUGGAGUGUGGGGGUCUUGGCAAGACAUUGAAGUGAAUUAGAGUAAACUCAUCAUCAGAUACUCUGGAAAACCAAAUUCUUCUCUCUCUCCUAGUGGGUUCCAAGUAAUUAUAACUUAAUCAGUAAGUGCUCUUGUAGCAAAUAUUUAUUGAUUACGUAUAUGUGUGAGCUCCAGGGGAGUAAAGCAUACCCUCAGGGGGCUUGAAUUUAGUUGGAGACAAAACUGUAUUACUGCUGACUCUACUAUGAGUGAAACCCUGCUGGAGAUACAUUUUCAUAAGCUGCCUCCCAUUUUUUCUUAAGAAGGCAUGCACAAAUAAAUGACAACAAUAAAGUAAGUGCCAAACUCCUUGUGGUAGGGAAUGUAAAAGGCUAAACUUCAUUCAUUCCAUAAAUACUUACUGAGUGCUUACUAUGUACCAGGCUCUGUUCUAAACACCAGGUUAUGGCAGUGACCUGAACAGAUCCCCCAGGGAGCAUCUCUUGGAAUGGAAGACCAGGUCACGAGCAGAAGGGACUUUGGGCUGCCUGGAGGGGACUGUGUGGGCUCACAUCUGUGCUGCAGCCUUAGGAGGGAGGGUCAUUUGUUGUGACUGAGCUGUGACUGUUAUUUUAUGAGGCUUUCGAUACUAGGGAGGAAGAAAAUGGUGCAUGGUAGUUGGAGUUAAGGUCAUGUACUAGAAAUGUAAUUUCUGCUGGUUCUCCUGUUCUGAACGCUUCAUGCUGCCUUUGAUCGCUCCUUUUUUUUCUUGAAUGCCAAUGCUAUCUUCUCUUCAGAUGUCAAGAGUGCCCUCAGGAGAUGGGACACCAGAAUAUUCUGCCAGAUGGCAUUUGUCUGUGUUUUAAUAAAAAAUGCCUUGUUCUCUCUGCCAUGAUGUGAAGCAGCAAGCCCCUGCAUGGAGCAGAUAAGAAACAGCAGGAGCAUUUCAGGUUUUUGAGGUCACAUAAUGUUUCCCAAAGGCCGAAUCAGCUCAAUUCCCUUAACCUUCGUGGUAGCACCAUGACUGUGGGACCAGAGGCCCCCUUGCUCAGCCCUGAGAGAUUCUGAGAGGCAAAGUCCUGAUGUGUCGAUGUAGAUGGAGCUCAGGGCAAGGGUGAAUGCUGGGAAGAGCCCAAAGGGUGCUUUCCUACUUAUCCAUAUCCCCUUUAUGUGCAGGGCUAAAGCAUUUCUCUUACACUGUCUCAGUUACGUUUUUCAGCCACUAA